GGACCUAUAGUGUAGCGGUGAGCACGCGGGAUUUUGAUUUAAUCUUGAUUUCCCGAGUCCCAAGUUCGAACCUUGGUAGGUCCU
rfam:Valsa mali strain 03-8 chromosome 6, whole genome shotgun sequence.